rnacentral:rRNA from 1 species
UACGAAGGGGGGCUAGCGUUGCUCGGAAUCACUGGGCGUAAAGGGUGCGUAGGCGGGUCUUUAAGUCAGAGGUGAAAUCCUGGAGCCUCAACUCCAGAACUGCCUUUGAUACUGAAGAUCUUGAGUUCGGGAGAGGUGAGUGGAACUGCGAGUGUAGAGGUGAAAUUCGUAGAUAUUCGCAAGAACACCAGUGGCGAAGGCGGCUCACUGGCCCGAUACUGACGCUGAGGCACGAAAGCGUGGGGAGCAAACAGG